rfam:Schistosoma haematobium scaffold190_4, whole genome shotgun sequence.
AUCCAACUGACGAGUUCCGAAUAGGACGAAACACGCGCCUGUUGGAU